GACGAACCGAGCGAACGUUGUUCGGAAUCACUGGGCUUAAAGGGCGCGUAGGCGGAUUGUCAAGUCCGGGGUGAAAUCCCACAGCUCAACUGUGGAACUGCCUCGGAUACUGGGAGUCUCGAGGGUGGCAGGGGUAUGCGGAACUAUCGGUGGAGCGGUGAAAUGCGUUGAUAUCGAUAGGAACUCCGGUGGCGAAGGCGGCAUACUGGUCCACUUCUGACGCUGAGGCGUGAAAGCCAGGGGAGCAAACGGG
rnacentral:rRNA from 1 species